rnacentral:lncRNA from 1 species
AGCCUGAGGGGGCCCGGGCAACAGCCGGGCUGGGGGCGGGGAGGCGGGGGCGGGGUGGCGCAGGAAGAAGGAGCAGAAGGUGCGGGGAGGAGAGCGGGGGGCGCCGGCGGCAGCGCGCGUGGAGGCGGCACUUCGCGAAGUGGCACUUCGGGGCGGGCGGCCCGCCGGGUCGCGGCCUGGCGCUGCGGGGCGGGGAGCGGCUCGGACGCAGGACGCCGCGGGCCGGGCUUACAGGUGGGAGAGGCCCCGACCCCGCCGCUUCGCAGGCCAGCUUCCUGCUGUGUUCCCUGCACCCACCGAUCUCACACGCAGCCCUAGGACAGACGUCCACUGGCCUGAGUUGGGUCUGGGGCCAACACGGAGCAGGUGGGGGUAGAGCAGCUCUGCUCGCCUGGAGGAAAGUUGAAUGGCUGGAACCAAGAUGACAGAUGGAGGCUGGCAGGCAAACACGGGAGGCCUCCUCACUCCAAGAGGGGAGUCAGCCUGGGGACAGUUCUUCUCCAGGCCCUGCUGCUCCCAUCAGCUGCAACACAGGAGAGGUAGGCUUCUCCGGAAAAGCUCCCACGGUCCUGGAUCCCGCUCCACCUUCUAGAAGCUCCCAGCGUUACUUCCUGAGCUGGCCUGCACAUCGUUGCGCUACUCCCGUCCAAGGGGGGACAUAUUCGGUGACCGACUCAGAACGCAGCCUGCUUCCCGGGUGGCCAGUGGCUCAGCAGUCUCGGUGCCUGAGCCUGCUCCCUCCGCCCGGCGGCUGGGCAGGUGGCUGAAUGCGGGCUGGAGGCCUUCCCUGAGAAGACGGUUAUCCAUGCUGUACAUGGAAGUGACCAGCUCGGCACCUGAGGAGACACACCGCGGCCGAUGACAGGCGCAGAGCAGGACGUGGUGAGGUCCUCAUACCUAGGAAUGCAGAACAAGGGCAAGAAACUCGGUGCCCGCCUGGCAUCUGCCCUGCACCAGUGGCCUCCAGGAAGUUCUCCACCAAGGAUGUUCCCCAGGCACUCUGUGCUCGCCUUCACCAGCGUCCUGUGAGGUCUUUCACACUGAUGGGGAAGCCUUUCUAAAGGGUAUUAGGGGGCUUGGGGGCUGGGGGUGCUGAGUACCAAGGGUCCCAGGAAGAGACAGGCCAGGCUUAUGGGCUGGGCAUCCAGAGAUCGCCCUGACGCCAGCUCCAGGUGGAGUUAGGAGGGCACUCUUGUCCCGACGCAUUUACAGACCACUCCCUCUUCUUGUUCCCCUCGACUCUGAGAGUGUGGUGGGGUAGCUGUGGAACCUGACUGCUUGCCUGAAGGUUGGGCAGCGUGGCUAGAAAUUGCGGCCCAGACCUGGGAUCUCACCCACACCUCUAUGAGACGUCCUGAAGGAAACCAUCGACUGAGCGGAGAGGCUUCGCCUUGCCCGCCUCCUCCCAGGAAGGAAGAGCGGAAGAGGCGUCGCCAGCCACCGAGACUGCCAGCCACCACCCCCUCCCAGACUCUCUGUCCCCACCCCAGACCAGGGUCACCUUCUUCCUGCACUGGGGGUGGGGUGCGGUAGGUUUCGCAAUCCAGACUGUGGGGUGGGGGUGGGAGCAGGUGUGUGUAAAUGAGCAGCUCGUCAGGAGUCACUGAGAAGGAGGCAGAUGGAGCUGGUACCCAGCAGGUCUCCUCUCAUAAGCGUCAACCCUCGCCUGGGCGGGCUGGGGGAUCCUCAGCACCCCAGCUCUGAGCCAGGGGUCUGCAACCCGGGCACCAGCGAUGGGCCCUCAUGCACACAGGGCGCCGAGCGGGGCCGGAGGCAAGAGUGACUUCAGACAGGAACCCGACGCCACAGCCGGUGACGCGGACCCUGGGUCAGCCAGCACGAUGGGCCGCUGGGGAGAGGAGGGCUGGAGGCAGAGAGUGUAAGUGUGCAGCCUUCAUCAGCUUAUUUUUAGUCGCGUUAUGUAAGUGGCUUCAUCUCAACGUCACAUGGGGGGGGGUCUCAGAUUUAAUUACAGGAUGACAGCCUUUGCUUUUCAAGCAAGCUGUUCUCCUGGCAAGCCAGGCGAAGGAUUGGGGAGUUUUGCUAAACAGAAGGAGCCCUUUCUGAGGUGACCACCCGUCAAAACUUGAACCCGCUUCCACCUCCGUCUCCCUCUUCCCGACCAGCCUCACCCAGCCUCGGCUGAAUGUGGCCUGAGAGUAGCCACUUGUCCGCAAUCACAGGGACGUUUUAUGCCUGUCAAGGGAGCUUCCUCUCUCCUCUUCCUCCCCCUCCCACCUUCUGCCUGGCAGCUUUGCCUUCUCUCCAAGAGAAGGGUCCACCCAAUCAGAACUCCUCUUCCUUUUCAUUCCUGGAUUAAAGCACUUGUAAUCAGUAACCAGAAAGUUCCAGAGCGGGAGAGACCGGAAGGCACUGGAGUGCUAUCGGACGGGUGUCUGGGGCAGAGCCAGGAGGGCGAGCCUCUUCUCUCCCCGCCUGCCCUUGCUCACUUCCCCCUCCAUGCCAGGUGCUGUGGGAGCAGCUGGGCCUGGCCGGGGUCGGCGGGUGAAGCUAUCCGCAUGGUGUCUGGAGCACCGUUUCUUUGCUUCCUGGAUGGGCUGGAUGGGCUCCCGUGUUCUUCACCAAUGGCAGCGUUACCAGCACCAAUGGCAGCGUUACCAGCAAGAAGGCAAAGGCAGGAGCACAUCGAGGGUGGGAGCCAGGGCUGUGGGGUCAGGAGUCCCGCUCCUUGCCGCGGGAAGCCUGGCUCAGCCACCUCCAGCACACUUCGGCUUUGUCCAGCAUAAAAGGCAGAGCGACGUUUUCACUGCAGGCUGUUUCCCACCAGGGCAAGUGGGACAGGGCGAGUGCUGACGUCUGCAGGCAUGGUGUGCAUUUAGGGGUGGGCGGCACCGAGGGGGCAUCAUUUGGCAUAGGCGGGCCCGGGGGCCACUGGGCUAGAUGACUGGCUGGUUGCUGGGGGCAGGUGUCACAGCCUCUCUGAGCACCCUCUAAGUGGAGGACAGAACAUUGUUGGGAGGAGUCCAGGCAUAAAGUGACAUAAACAGCGCAGAGAAUGGGACCAGCGCACCUGAGAGGUGAUCAUUAGCCUCAGCAACUGGAUGGGACAUUCCGAAGAGCUCCCAGCCAACACAGAUGGUCACUCCAGAGGCUGACAUUUAAAAGGAAGGGGCCCGGCCGGGCACAGUGGCUCACGCCUGUAAUCACAACACUUUGGGAGGCUGAGGCGGGCAGAUCAACUGGGGUCAGGAGUUCAAAACCAGCCUGGCCAACAUGGUGAAACCGCAUCUCUGCUGAAAAUACAAAAAAUUAGCCAGGCAUGGUGGUGGGCACCUGUAAUCCCAGCUACUCAGGAGGCUGAGGUAGGAGGAUCGCUUGAACCCAGGAAGUAGAGGUUGCAGUGAGCCGAGAUUGUGCCAUUGCACUCCAGCCUGGGCGACAAGCGAAACUUCGUCUCAAAAUAAAUAAAAGUAAGGGGCACAGGGAGGGGGCCCCAGCUCGUGCCCCUUCUGUGUGGGCUGCACAUGGUGACUUCCUUCCAGAGAGCACAGAGUGGGAGGUAGGCAAGGCGUCUCCACAGUGGAGAGCCCGACCCACUGUCUCAGCCCAGAGGUCAAGGCUGGCACCAUCACCGAGAGGUCACACGGGCAGAUGUGACAGGGCGCUUCACCACUGGGCUCUUCCUCCCAGACCCAUAACCCUUGUCUUAGUAUUAGAAAAACACUGGCAGACCGGGCGCAGUGGCUUACACCUGUAAUCGCAGCAUUUUGGGAGGCCGAGGUGGGAAGAUUGUUCAAGAGCAGUCUGGGCAACAUGGUGAGACCCCAUCUCUACAAAAAAAAUUUUUUUUUUAAUUAGCCAGGCGUGAUGGCACAUGCCUGUGGUCCUAGCCACUAGAGGCUGAGGUGGGAGGAUCACUGGAGCCCAGGAGGUCAAGGCUGCAGUGAGCUGUGAUCACACCACUGCACUCCAGCCUUGGCGACAAACCAAGACCCUGUCUCGAAAAGAAAAGAAAAGAAACAUUAGGCAAAUCCCAACAGGGGGACACUCUACAGAAAAACCGACCAGCCCUCCUGAAAACUUCCCAAGUCAUCAAAACCAAGGAAAGUGGGCUGGGCGCGGUGGCUCACACCUUAAUCCCAGCACUUUGGAAGGCUGAGGCGGGCAGAUCACAAGGUCAGGAGUUUGAGACCAGCCUAGCCAACAUGGUGAAAUCUCAUCUCUAAAAAUACAAAAAUUAGCCGGGCGUGGUGGCAGGCGCCUGUAGUCCCAGCUACUCGGGAGGCUGAGGCAGGAGAAUUGCUUGAACCCAGGAGGCGGGGGUUGCAGUGAGCUGAGAUGAUGCCACUGCAUUCUGGCCUGGGUGACAGAAUGAGACUCUGUCUCAAAAUAAAAAAAACCAAAAACCAAAAAACAACCAAGCAAAGUCUGAGAAACUGUCACAGCCUAGAGGAACCUGGAGACAGCUGAUCCCUAAAUGUCACGUGGGAUCCUGGGUGGGGUCCUGGGAGAGAAAGAAGACAUUGGAGGGAAACUGAGGAAAUAUGAAUAAAGUAUGGGCUUUAGUUAAUAAUAAUGUAGCAGCAUUGAUUCAUUGAUCAUCAUAAACACAUGUACUGAUGCAAGAUGUCACCAAAGGGAAAACUGGGCUGGGGGGAUGGGGGGGUGGCGGUAUCUUUGUAACAAUUGCAUGAAUGAAAAAUGUGCUAGAGUUAAGGUUGUCAUGGGAAUGGGCAGUGAUCUUGCACAGGCCUCCAGUUUUACCUGCAGGAGUCCGAAGGCGUCACCUGUGCCUCACCCUGGAAUCUCGUCCUGGCCCCCAGGUCCCCACUCUGUCCACCUUGGGGUCAGUGGAUGGAGCUGUUGCCCCUGUGGUCUGCUGCUGCUGAUCACAGAGAGCCCCAGGGGGCCAGCACCCUGUGGAGUGGCCCCUUAUCCCGAGGACAGGCACGUGGGCCCGCC